rnacentral:tRNA from 1 species
GGAGAGGUGGCCGAGCGGUUUAAGGCACUCGCCUGGAAAGCGGGCGUAGGGUUAAACCUACCGUGAGUUCGAAUCUCAUCCUCUCCG